rnacentral:lncRNA from 1 species
AGACAAUUUCUUGUUUUUCAUUAUUAUAAGUAUCUUGUAUCUAUAUCUUGGUGAACUUGACCUGUUAUUUCCUUAGGAAAUUUCUGAGAAGUCAAAUUGCUUGCUUUUUACCACUUUUCCAUUCAUUCACUAAGCAAAUGAUAAAUAUUUAGCAAAUAGUUUUGGAUGCUUGGAUAUAAUGGUGAGCAAAAUAGUUUCCCUUUUCACCUUUCCCAAUUGCAUUUUAGUGCUGGUGGACAGUAAAGGGAGCAGCCUUCUGCUGAUGAUAGCAAAGUGUCUAUGAUGAUAUGCUGGGAGGCAGUAAGGGAAUCUGUGGGGGCACUACUGUAGAAAGUCUCAUCAGAAAGACCUGAAGAGGACAUGCUUAAACUAAUACAUGAAGGAUCAGCAUGAACCAGAACUGGACAGAGGCUGAGCAGUGUAGGUAAAGGCCCAGAAGGCAAGCACAAACUUGACAUGUAUGAGAAGUUAGUGAACAGUGUACCUGUUAAUAUCUCUGGCACAAGGAGUGGUCAGGGACUUUCUAUUAGCCUCCCAUUUGUCUGACCAGCUCUUUUACUUUCCCAGUCAGCCUUCUUUCUUUCCUUGCUUGUUUAAUCAGUUCACAUCCA